AGGGAGCCGACAUAACCUUCAGCACAUCCUUCACUGAUGACAUCGAGCUUAUCGCCGCCUUCAGGAUCUCCCUCGAGCAUCCGGGCUUCACAAUGUUCCUCACCUGGGAUAUCAGUUUGACAAGCUUCAACUACAGGUCAACUGGAGAAGGAUGGAUAACUGGCUUUCCAGUAGGAACAGCUCCAGGACUGCGUGAGUGCCUCUUCACACUCAUCAUUGCCUGUUGUGAUUGGCAAAUGUUUCUGCAAGCUGAGCAGCAUCUGAAUUGGAGGUCACCCCUGAAGACAAGAUAACAUCAAGAAUUACACAAGUCCUUAAGGCAGAGAAUGUUUUUGAAAUAAGCAAAUUUGCUGGUAUAACCUAUUAGUACCUCCAAUGAUGACGAGGCCAUCCAAGUCAAGAUCACAGCAUGUUGACAUUGCAGCAUUCACUUGCUCAGUUGUGUGGAUUUGAUCAACAGUUCUGCCGAGAAAAUCAAAACCACCUUCAAGAAGGUAAAGACUUUCUUGUUAUAUAGGCCAUAAUAUAUUUAGAAAGCUAGCAAUCAAGAUCAAUAAAUUUAAACCUUGGUUUCUAUAUGCUGAAAGAACAUCAUCUGUGAUCUCCAAUGUCUGAUUUGCAAAUAGGCCUUCUGUGCCACCUAUUUAGAAAUACAAAGUUCUUCAUGAGACUUAUUUUUAUCAUAUCUUUUUGCAGGAAAUCAAUAUAUAUAUACUAAGCCAAUAAAUGUCACAACAAGCAAUCCAAUAAUGUAAAUAUCACACUGCUUCUUGUUAGUCCAUUUAAAAUCUAGAAAUUGAAAGUAUGCUCAAUUACUCACCAAUAAAUCCAAGCAAAACACUUUGUAGAUUUUGAGUUUUCAUAGCAUCAUAGAUGCCCCAUAUCACAUUGUGCCCCCCUGGCGAUUGCCUCCCAGAGAACACCACACCAACCCUAGAUUCAAGUAAAUAUCAAGCCUGAGAAUUGUGUGUUGAUAGAUCAAAUAUCAAGUUUUCAAUGAUAAAGAAUUGACACUAGUUGCUAUCACACUAAUUCGGUGUUCAAGCCAAACUUGAUUUGUUCUGAUUUUUUUUCUCAACUGAAAAAUGGAUGGGGUUUAGCACCAUUCUGAAAAAGGAAAACGAACCUGAUUGGUGGAUGUUCAUCGUUGGCUUGCGCAUCCAUCUUGUUCGGCUUCAGGAAAUGUACCAGAGGCUGACCAAAGGUGUUGGGAAAUUCCUGCACAACCAUAUUUGCGCAUGUCGGGUCGAUGGUCGUCGUCGAAUCGCCAAACUCCACUCUGAUGGCCUUUCCCUGAACAUGUUGGUUGAAAAACUUUGAGAGAAUACAAAUACAAGGACCUAAAUACAAAGUGAACAUACUGUGUUCAAAACUUGCAACUUUUCAUAAUUAGUGAUGAAAAAAAGUAGCUUGAUGCAGCUUGCAAGUGGUGAGGAUGAAGGAGAGCUUGCAAACCUCAAGGCAUGGAGGCAGCUCCGGCUGAUACAGAGCCCUCCUCUGCUGCAACCCGGUGAGCUCCCUCGGCUUGCCGAGGUCCGCGUUCAUGGACAUCUCCCUUCUUGCUCUUCUUGCUGCAAAGAAAGUACAAAGUACAAACUUACUUUGCAAUUUGUUCUUGGUGCAGUUUUUUUUUUUUCUCCUUGUGUUCUUGCAGCCCUUUUUGUAGGGAGACAAUGGAAGAAGAAGAAGAAAGUGAGACUUUUUGGUGCUCCUGCAGUUUCUUGGCCCUCUGAUGACACCAACAGAAAUUUGACCCCAGAUUCCAUUGUUGCAUUUGUCUGUGUGUUUGAUGUUCAAGGGUGCAACUGUGUGAAUUGUGAUUGGUCAAGUGGAGUGGCCUUCUAGGUUGCCAGGAUGCAGGUGACCUUUUUAUUUUUAUUUUUUUUAAGAAAAAUAAAAUCAACCUGCCUACACAAAAAAAUAUUUGAUACAUCUGACCAUAAUAAGUAUCACAACAGAAGUACAGAACCCUCUCUUGGGCUUUGUUUGUGAACAUUUAUCGAAAUUCCACACAAUUUUAGAGGAAUUGGUCUAUGUGUUGGACUGUUGA